rnacentral:RNase_P_RNA from 1 species
GAAGUCCGCCAGGCAACCGCUGGAUGCGUCAAAACAUCUGGAGGAAAGUCCGGGCUCCGCAGAGCAGGAUGCCGGCUAACGGCCGGGCGCAGCAAGCCUCGCAAGAGGCCCAAGGCGACGGAAAGUGGCACAGAAAACAUACCGCCCAAGUUCGCGAGAACCGGCAAGGGUGAAAAGGCGAGGUAAGAGCUCACCGCGCCGCCAGUAAUGGCGGUGGCAGGCAAAACCCCAUCAGGAGCAAGGCCAAAUAGGGGAGCAUGGACGUUGCUCGCGUCGCUCCCGGGUAGGCUGCUAGAGGCUGCCGGUAACGGUAGUCCCAGAGGAAUGGUUGCCCACGACAGAACCCGGCUUAUCGGCGGACUUCCAUU